UACGGGGGGGGCAAGCGUUGUUCGGAAUUACUGGGCGUAAAGGGCUCGUAGGUGGCCAACUAAGUCGGACGUGAAAUCCCUCAGCUUAACUGGGGAACUGCGUCCGAUACUGGAUGGCUUGAGUUUGGGAGAGGGAUGCGGAAUUCCAGGUGUAGCGGUGAAAUGCGUAGAUAUCUGGAGGAACACCGGUGGCGAAGGCGGGUCUCUGGGCCGAUACUGACGCUGAGGAGCGAAAGCGUGGGGAGCAAACAGG
rnacentral:rRNA from 1 species